rnacentral:rRNA from 1 species
CAGUCGCCACGGUAAUACGUAGGGUGCAAGCGUUAAUCGGAAUUACUGGGCGUAAAGCGUGCGCAGGCAGUUAUAUAAGUCAGAUGUGAAAUCCCCGGGCUCAACCUGGGAACUGCAUUUGAGACUGUAUGGCUAGAGUGUGUCAGAGGGGGGUAGAAUUCCACGUGUAGCAGUGAAAUGCGUAGAUAUGUGGAGGAAUACCGAUGGCGAAGGCAGCCCCCUGGGGUAACACUGACGCUCAUGCACGAAAGCGUGGGGAGCAAACAGGAUUAGAUACCCCUGUAGUCCCUGUCUCUUAUAC